CACCAAAGCUCCGAAUUUUUGACGAGCGCAUCUAUUAGAUUAAAACCAAUCGGGUUUCGGCCCGUUUGUUGGUGACUCUGAAUAACUAUGGCUGAUCGCAUGGUCUAGAACCGGCGACGUGUCUAUCAAGUGUCUGCCUUAUCAACUGUCGAUGGUAGUUUAUGUGCCUACCAUGGUUGUAACGGGUAACGGAGAAUAAGGGUUCGACUCCGGAGAGGGAGCCUGAGAAACGGCUACCACAUCCAAGGAAGGCAGCAGGCGCGCAAAUUACCCACUCUCGGCAUGAGGAGGUAGUGACGAAAAAUAACGAGACCGUUCUCUAUGAGGCCGGUUAUCGGAAUGGGUACAAUUUAAACCCGUUAACGAGGAUCUAUGAGAGGGCAAGUCUGGUGCCAGCAGCCGCGGUAAUUCCAGCUCUCAAAGUGUAUAUCGUCAUUGCUGCGGUUAAAAAGCUCGUAGUUGGAUCUGCGCCUCAGGACCUGGUCCGCCCACUGGGUGAGAACUGGGCUCCUGGGCUAGUUCUGCUGGUUUUCCCUGCGUUGCCUUCAUCGGUAGCGUAGGGUGGCUAGCGAGUUUACUUUGAAAAAAUUAGAGUGCUUCACGCGGGCUUAUGUCUGAAUACUCGUGCAUGGAAUAAUAGAAUAGGAUCUCGGCUCUAUUUUGUUGGUUUUCUGAUCUGAGAUAAUGGUUAAGAGGGACGGACGGGGGCAUUCGUAUCGCUGCGUGAGAGGUGAAAUUCUUGGACCGUAGCGAGACGUCCGACUGCGAAAGCAUUUGCCAAGAAUGUCUUCAUUAAUCAAGAACGAAAGUCAGAGGUUCGAAGGCGAUCA
rnacentral:rRNA from 1 species